ACGACCUUACUUGAACAGGAUCUAUUCUGUAGGCUCGUACCAGUGUAUCCUUGACUUCUAAAGAGACAGGAAACGAAGUCUGGUGGAUGAACUUGUGGCCAUGAGACUAGAGCGUGAUUAACAGCUUUCAUCGUCCCUACAAGCUAAGGGGAGCUUUAGAGGAUCGUUCUCAGCCUGGUCCACCGAGCUUGAGAUGGUUUUGUGGCUGUCUGACAGACU